rnacentral:rRNA from 1 species
UGCGCAGGCGGAUUUGUAAGUCAGUGGUGAAAUCCCCCGGCUCAACCGGGGAACUGCCAUUGAUACUGCUAAUCUAGAGUACAGUUGAAGUAGGCGGAAUGUAGCAUGUAGCGGUGAAAUGCAUAGAGAUGCUACAGAACACCGAUUGCGAAGGCAGCUUACUAAGCUGUAACUGACGCUCAGGCACGAAAGCGUGGGGAGCAAACAGGAUUAGAUACCCUGGUAGUCC